rnacentral:misc_RNA from 1 species
CCGAGUUUACAACUCCCAAACCCCUGUGAACAUACCUUUAUGUUGCCUCGGCGGAUCAGCCCGCGCCCUGUAAAACGGGACGGCCCGCCGCAGGAAACCCUAAACUCUGUUUUUAGUGGAACUUCUGAGUAUAAAAAACAAAUAAAUCA